rnacentral:lncRNA from 1 species
UGCGAACCGCGAGGAGGUUCCACGCGGAUAGGGCCACAGCCCCCGCCGGAGCCCCAACACUAGCCCUGGACUUCUCCACCGACUUACGACAUGAGAGCUCAAUAUCUCCUUAUUUAACGCACUGUUGUAUCAGGUCCCUGUCGCAGCCACUGGCCCUAUAGCCUAAUAAAGGAGCGGGUGCACGCAUUGGGUUGGUGAGCUACCGCCACAGCAACGCGCGUCCUAAUCAACCAUCCCAAACGGCGGCUGUAAUAAGGUUUUCGCAGGCUUGGGCUUCAACGCUGGGCCGGCCGCUGUGCUCUGCGGCUCCCUGAAGGCCUGCGGAUCGGCCAGGGGUCUGCGUUCUUUCUGGGCCGAGGCUGAAGAAGCAGCGACUGCACCAGAAAGGCCUUCUGGGUGAAGGUGGAAGCGCACGGGGCCCGCGGAACGGCCUAAGGCAUCUUCAGGCGUGGGCUUGGAAUUGGUAGGCUUUCGUUUCUGCUUCAUUCCAUGGCUAGUGCAAGCCACGUGGGCAAGCCUGAAGCCAGGGGGCGGGAAAGUACCCUCCACCCACAAGGAAACCAUGGCAAGUGGUGGGUGCACGUAGGGAUGAGGCAUGGGGCCAAUAGUCUAUCUAUCCCAUGAGGAGCCCUGCUUUGGGGGUUGCACACUCGGUCUGCCCUUGCAGUGGUGUCUGUCACUAUGAAGACCCCGCCACAGGUCGCCAUCAGGUCAGGGACCCUGACAAGAUGCAAAAACCAAGGCCAAACAGCUAAGUUUUUUGCCCUGGAGGAGGAAAGUGGCCUCUGAAAGCCAGAAGACUCUCACAUUACAGCAUUCCUGCCGGUUGCUGUCAAGAGCUGCUAAGCUGUCCUCAAGUCCUGUGUCUGAUGUCAAGCUAAUAAAAGAUUUAGGGUGCAUUAGUAAAGGUAUCUUAAGUCUAGAUGCCUUCGAGAUUAGAUUCAGUCAUGAUGAGCAGCUAAGGAUUAACAAGAAAGAUUACAAAUUGUUUCCAGGAAUUUAUUUCUUUAAACACUGAUUAUAUAUAUAUAUAUAGUCUUAAGUCAAAUUAACAUGUUGUUUAUGUUCAGC